CCUACGGGAGGCAGCAGUGAGGAAUAUUGGUCAAUGGGCUUACGCCUGAACCAGCCAAGUCGCGUGAGGGAAGACUGCCCUAUGGGUUGUAAACCUCUUUUGUCAGGGAGCAACGCCGGCUACGUGUAGCCGGACUGAGAGUAUCUGAAGAAAAAGCAUCGGCGACUACCGUCCCAGCAGCCGCGGUAAUACGGAGGAUGCGAGCGUUAUCCGGAUUUUUUGGGUUUAAAGGGUGCGUAGGCGGAAUGCCAAGUCCGCGGUAAAAUCGCGGGGCUCAACCUCGCUCCGCCGUUGAUACUGGCGUUCUUGAGAGGGCGAGAAGUAUGCGGAAUGCGUGGUGUAGCGGUGAAAUGCAUAGAUAUCACGCAGAACUCCGAUUGCGAAGGCAGCAUACCGGCGCCCAACUGACGCUGAAGCACGAAAGUGUGGGUAUCGAACAGGAUUAGAUACCCGAGUAGUC
rnacentral:rRNA from 1 species